UUUAGCUGUCAGAGCAGUGUAAUGAAAUGCCCGAACUUGACCUAUAUCUGUGUGCGUGCGUGUGUGUGUGUGUGUGUGUGUGUGUGUGUGUGUGUUGUACAGGAACAGGAACCCUCCCGGUGAGCAGGAACAGAAUGACGUCAGUUGUCAGUUGGCUCACUGCUGAGUUUUGUCGGAAUUGCAAUAUUGGUGUGUGUGUGUGUGUGUGUGUGUGUGUGUGUGUGUGUGUGUGUGUGAGAGAGAGAGAGAGAGAGAGAGAGAGAGAGAGAGAGACCUAGUGUAAUUAAAGGUGUGUGUGUGUGUGUGUGCAGUUCUGAAAAAAGUAUCUUUGUGCGUGUGCGAGUGAGUGGUUUAAGAGGGAGUGUGUUUAUGGGAAAUAGAGAUUGUGUGUGUGUGUGUGUGUGUGUGUGUGUGUGUGUGUGUGUGUGUGUGUGUGUGUGUGUGUGUGUGUGUGUGUGUGUGUGUGUGUGUGUGUGUGUUUACACAGACGGGAAUACAGCACCAAAGGAAGUGCGCCGGUUCUCCGUCUGAGCGUCCCGACUUCCUGCUCUGAGGCAGGACAGAGAAAAGCUGCGGAUCCGCUUUCAGACAGCAGCAGCAGCAGCAGCAGCAGCAGCAGCAGCAGCAUGGGGUUCCAUAGAUACACACACACACAGCUUUAAGGCACAAUCAGAAACAUCAGGCAGGACAGACGGACAUCGGAGCAGUUACAUCCACAGCUGGAUUGCCUGUCUCUGGUAUUUCUGGUGGCAUCCUGUCAUGGAGAGUUCAAUCACUCUCUGGCAGUUCCUGCUGCAGCUGCUGAUCGACCAAAGCCACAAACAUCUCAUCUGCUGGACGUCCAGCGACGGCGAGUUCAAGCUGCUUAAGUCAGAGGAAGUGGCCAAGCUGUGGGGGCUGCGCAAGAACAAGACCAACAUGAACUAUGACAAGCUGAGCAGAGCUCUGCGCUACUACUACGACAAAAACAUCAUAAAGAAGGUGAUCGGCCAGAAGUUCGUCUACAAGUUUGUGUCGUUCCCGGAGAUUCUGAAGAUGGACCCUGCGGUGGUGGAGUUGGGACGCAGCAGUGAGGAGGGAGGAGGUGCGACGUCAGAGCCUGAGGCUGACGAUGAGGACGGGGGAGGGAGAAACCAAUACCUCCAGUCGGGCCUGUACUCCUCCUUCACCGUCAGCUCCUUGCAGCACUCCUUAGAGCCGCACCACCUGAUAAAAGAGGAGCCCAGAUCUGAUCGGCAUGACGACAGCUCCUCUGUCAUCCGAUUCAUGACAAACCGAGGCCACUCCUCCCUUCCUCCCACCCCUCCCCCGUCCUCCUCCGAGACGUCCCACUCCUCCAGGCCAUCGCCUCGCCAGGCCCGCUCUUCCUCCUGCUCCUCCUCACCACCACAAAGCCCCGCCCACAGCCUGUGGAGGGGACGUUGCCUGAGCACAGACACUGAUGAGCUGGAGUACAGCGCUCAGCCCCUGAACCUGUCAUCUGGUCAGAGGGAGAGAUUGAGGUCACAGAGCACGUCGACACCAGAGAGGAGGGGACUAGCAAAUAACUUACCUUUGAGAUCGAGAAAACCCAAAGGCUUGGAAAUCUCCGCCUCCCCUCUCCUCCUGACAGGAAAUGACCUGGUCUCCAUAGCACUCAACAGCCCAGCGCUGCCUUCAGGGUCCAUGACCCCUGCCUUCCUCACCGCACAGGCGAGUGGAGUGGACGGGGAGAAAAGAGAAGGACAGUGUGUUUCAGGGAUGAGGAAAGUUAAGCUUGCAGACUGGGAGGAGAUGGAAAGAGACUCCGUCUGGUCUGGUGCUCACUCCCAGUCAUCUACUCUCUAAUAUCCAUUUCUGGUCCAGCAUGAGUCCAGUGGGGCCCCUCAGCCCUGCCCAACUCCAGAGCCAUGCACCCCUCUUCCAGUUCCCCACACUGCUGAAUGGACACUUCCCUGUGCCUUUUCCAAGCCUGGACAUGUCCUCUCCCCUGCUGCUCUCCUCCAGCUCCCAUAAGUCCUGAGAGAGAGAGAGAGAGAGAGAUAGAGAGAGAGAGAGGACCAAACCAAACAAGCCUUAAACUCAGAUGAUGAACCACACAGGAGUCGGACCUCGUCUCAGUCCAGCAGCACUCCUGAACCUGUUCCUUUAGCAUUUAAAUGAAGAAACAGGAACUUCACUCUGAAGAUUUGCUCUCUGAGAGGAACAUUUGCAUAAGAAAUUUUGUUGAGUGUACUACUCGUGUUCUUUAAAUGUGUAUUUAGUGCUUUCCUAUUUUCAAGAUGAAUUACUUUUCAUGGGAAGACCUCAUCUCAUCCCCCCUGAUUUACACUUUAAUGAUACAGACUUUUUUGCAGUUUCAUGAAUGUAAUUUCAGUCUUUUUCUUCCCCUCCAAAAAGAAAACUUGUCUGGAAUUAUGAUACAACUAAGUUGACAAAGAAUGUGCCUUUAGGCUUCUUUUAGUGUGUACUAUUGUAAAAUAUAAGAAAAUACACUUACUUUUUUACAAGUAUGCUUUUGUUCCUUAUACAGACAGGAGACUGUUUAUUUCAGCAUUAAGCCUUGAAUACAGGCAACAGGUUGCAUUGCUCGAUCCCAUGUUACAAAAGUCUAACUUUUUACUUCAAAAUGCUUAUUUGUGUAAUAGAGCAAACAUGUACAGAAGCCGUUGGCAGACAUGCAUCAAUACAUGUAAAAUUUCUUUGUUUUCCUGUGAUAACGAGUUAAUUACAGCCGCUUUCUCAUGAAAUGCACUAACAAUGGAAAACCAGCGUUGUUAUCCUGAGAUAAGAUUAAUGAGUUGUUGCAACCUUGAGAAAACAACUGAAAUGUACUCGUAAUCACGGGAAAACUGUGUAAUAUAAAAUGUAUGGAUGUACGUUUUCUUAAGGCUUCCAUAAAAAUCUAAAAACAUAAAUUGUAGUUUAAUGAGGGAGACAAAGUUGUCUGUUUCCCAUGACAACAAAAAUUACUGUUCUCGGUCACAAUAUAAUACCACUGUGAAGCCUGUCAUUUAUACAUAUCAUGUACAGACACAGCAAACACAAAAGAUGAUGUGUUAUUUAGAAAGCAGCUGUUUACAGUCUUUUUGCUAAGCUAACCGGCUGGUGGCUCUUUGUAUACAACUGACUGACUGAGUGUGGUAGCAAUUCUCUUGUCUAUUUAAAAAUAUUCCCGAAAAUAUAAAUAAUUCCAAUUCAAUUUUUAUGAUAUAAUGAUUUUAGGCGACACAGGUCUGUGACAGAUAGCAGCUUGAUUACACGAUUCCUGUUCUAGCUACGUCUUUACCAACAUGUAAAAAGUUUUAGGCGUCACCUCGACAUUUAACCACUGGUAGUGUCUCAUUUAUGAUUUUUGAGCCCCAACAUAAGUUUUGUAUAUACCCCAUUACUGUUUUAAAUGACAUUGACUCCUAGCAAAGCUAGCUGCUAGCUAGUGCGCCAAAAAGCUGAGCUCAUUUUGUUACAAUGCUUUGAAUCAACGCUGUGAACUUUUUUUUUGUUUCGUCAUCUCUGUAUAGUUUCACUUUUUUUUUCUUUUAAAUGCACUGUACUUUAAAGGCUUGUAUAGUACCAGCGGUGCCUUUGAUAGUGUCAGACUUCUUAAAUGUGUUGAGCUCUAAAACAUGUUUUACAGGUCAAGAUUGCACAACAGCUUUUUUCUUUUUGUAAAAUAGCUCCUGUUAUUUUUAUACUGAAAUUAAUGGAAGUAUAUUCUCAGUGAUUUUUCUUGCGUUUUAUUGGUAUGUUGAGAGAACUGUUAUUGUUUUUGGAAUAAAAUUAAUUACUUUUC